rnacentral:misc_RNA from 1 species
AACGCACCUUGCGCUCCUUGGUAUUCCGAGGAGCAUGCCUGUUUGAGUGUCAUUAAAUUCUCAACCUUUAUUAACUUUUUGGUUAGUAAGUGGAUUGGAAGUGGGGGCAUGCUGGUUUCUUCAUUGAAAUAAACUCCCCUGAAAUGCAUUAGCUGGUUGCCUUGUGCGAACAUGUCUAUUGGUGUGAUAAUUAUCUACGCCGUGGGCUAUUUGCCGUUUAUAGCACUGCUUAUAAUCGUCUGUUCAUUCAGACAAUAUAUGACAAUUUGACCUCAAAUCAGGUAGGACUACCCGCUGAACUUAA